rnacentral:rRNA from 1 species
GCAAGUCGAACGAGAAAGUUCUUUUCGGAGAACGAGUAGAGUGGCGCACGGGUGAGUAACACGUGGAUAAUCUACCUUCAAGCCCGGGAUAACUAUUCGAAAGGAUAGCUAAUACCUGAUAAAGUAUAUGACUUUUAAGGUUAUAUAUGAAAGACAGCCUCUGUAUAUGCUGUUGCUUGGAGAUGAGUCCGCGCACCAUUAGCUAGUUGGUGGGGUAAAGGCCUACCAAGGCAACGAUGGUUAGCUGGUCUGAGAGGAUGAUC